rnacentral:rRNA from 1 species
AUACGUAGGGUGCGAGCGUUAAUCGGAAUUACUGGGCGUAAAGCGUGCGCAGGCGGUUUUGUAAGACAGUGGUGAAAUCCCCGGGCUCAACCUGGGAACUGCCAUUGUGACUGCAAGGCUGGAGUGCGGCAGAGGGGGAUGGAAUUCCGCGUGUAGCAGUGAAAUGCGUAGAUAUGCGGAGGAACACCGAUGGCGAAGGCAAUCACCUGGGCCUGCACUGACGCUCAUGCACGAAAGCGUGGGGAGCAAACAGGAUUAGAUACCCUGGUAGUCCACGCCCUAAACGAUGUCAACUGGUUGUUGGGAAUUUAUUUUCUCAGUAACGAAGCUAACGCGUGAAGUUGACCGCCUGGGGAGUACGGCCGCAAGGUUAAAACUCAAAUGAAUUGACGGGG